CUAAAUCUUUUCAGACAGUUGAACCCAGAUUUGGUAAAUCUAAUCUUCUUCCUUUCAAAACUAUCUAAAUUAGAUCAAGUGAACAUUAAUGAAUAAUGGGUGUUAAACAUUAAUAGAGAAUGACUACAUUGGAAUGUAUGAUUUAGUUCUACCAAAGAAUGGAAGUUUUUCUUCAGUGUGCUUAGCACUUGCAGCAGGUAAAUUGCACUGAACUGAAAGUCUGGAAUCCAGCUUUGAAUUUACACCUAUUAUACUAUCAUUUAUCUUAAUAGCAGAUGAACUAAAAUUUCCAAUGAUUUUCCAUUCUUCUGUCCGCAAAUGAAAUAGUCAUGUUGAAAAAAUCAUUAAUCUUAAAGUGGUGACAGAUAAAAAGAAUUUAGUUUGUUGUCAGUACUUCUCAACUUAAAGGUUAGGUCAGCCAUGGUUUAUGUCAUGACACUGAUAAAUUUUUCUAAUGACCAGAAUGGUUUGAUUUGCAAUAGCUUUUUGUUUUAAGGAAUAUAUAUCAUGGUUAUCUGACUUCAUCCUAAAGAUGCAUUUUUUUUCUACUUUGCAUCAUUUCUAUUUUACAACAAACAGACAAAAGUGUAGAGCAGUAAGUAAAAUUUGGUAAUAUUAAAAUAUGCAUUUUAAAGAUCUUUCCAUGAAAACUUAAAAGCAGAAUUGUAAAAAUGAAAACUUGGCAAAGGAAUGAAGGGGCAAAUGGUUAGAAAUCAUUGCGGUUUAAAGAAGGUAAAGAUUUCUAGAUGCUGUUUAAUAUACUGAGAAGGUAGUGAAGGUAUAAAAUCAGAAAAAAGGCAGACAGAUCUAAUCUCAAGAAUAAACUGCCUUUGAAAAUUCUGAAUACCAUUCAGUAAAACAAGGGUCAAGGUAAGUGUUUAGUGGAAGAGUCUUUUAGUUAAAAUUCAGUCAAAAAUAAAGAAAAAUAAAAAUACCAAUUUUAAUAGUAUCAUCAGAAAUAGGCUAUUUCGACUAGUAUAUUCAGUCCUUUCUUCAGUUAGACAAAUCUAGAUUUCUCAUUUCUUAUUUUCCUAUGAUUUUAGUUCUUACUCUUUUCAAAAUACGUUUAAGUUAUACUUAGUCAUGUUAUUGGAGGAAAUGUAAGGAGAAGUUGAAAGCCAUUUAUAAAAAGUGGUUGAACUGGUUCCCUUAAUUCCUUUUUUCUAGACUAGCUUUAGUCCUUUUUAAAAAAUAGAAACUAUUUGAAUGUAAUUAAAAAUUAUUUUCUCUAAGUAAAAAUAUCUAAGGGAAAAGAUUGUAAGCCAUUCCAUUGCUAAUAGUGGUUGUAUUAUGAUAGAAUUUUGAAUAUGUCUUUUUCAGUUCUCCAGGUUUCUCUGUAACAUGAUUUAUAUUUGUGCAUAAUACCAGUAGCCAAUUUAUUUUUUAAAGUAAUGAUCCUACUAUAAGCAAGAAUCAGUCUUGAAGUUUUUCUGAAGUUGUCUUUUAAACUGGCAUCUACUGGAUUUUUUAAAUAUAAAGCGCAUUUUUUAAAUAUGCCAUUCUAGGGCUUCCUAGGUGGCGCAGUGGUUAAGAAUCCGCCUGCCAAUGCAGAGGUGACGGGUUCGAUCCCAGCUCCAGGAAGAUCCCACAUGCCACGGAGCAACUAAGCCCGUGUGCCAAAAUAAAAAAAAAUAAAAUAAAAUAUAUAUGCCAUUCUUUCUUCAAGUUAAGAAUGUAAUUAAGCCUAGUAUCGUCUAAUGCAGAUCUCAAAUAAUACUCUUGGACUAUAUGCCCUUACUUUGAAAGUGAAUCUGGCUUAUUUUACUGAUAUGCUGCUUCUGUCUUCUAUUUAGGCCUCUUCAAAGCAGUGCCUUACCAUGUUGGGAGGGGUCAUUAAUGUUUAGUAGGAUUCCUAAAUUGCUAAAAAUUAAACUUCAUGUAGAUACCUUGUGGAGUCAUGAUACCGUAUCUUCACUACUAGCCUUUUCUGAUUUUUUUAAGCUCUUUAUUGGAAUAUAAUUGCUUUACACUCUUGUGCCAGUUUUUGAGGUACUCCAAAGUAAAUCAGCUGCAUUUAUCCUUUUCUGAUUUUAGAAGCAUUCAUGAAAUCUGAAGAAUUACUUGUUCUCUGAUUUUUUUUUUUUUUUUCAGAUUGAACACCAAGAAGCAGGGAGAAAUUGUAAAAUUAAAUGAUAGCUACAUUUUAUCAAAGACUAUACCUUAAAUUCCUUUAAAGGGAGUUCACUACUGUGUGAUUAAAUUGAGAAUUGUUUUCUUUUAUUAUAGAUCUGGAAAAAAUUCCCUUCUAAAUAGAUAUUAUUUACAACAUUAAUUCAGAUGUAAGCUGUCAGUCGUCUAUUAAGAGAAUUCUGAGCAGAAGUGUCUUGCCACUGUUGUCCAGAGCAUAUUAUUUUGCACCUCUUCUGUGAAGUGAGUUACACCAGUCAUCCUGGGAAGGAAAAUUAUAAUCCAAAGGAUUGUAAGUAUUCAUUUCACUAUUUUUUAUGUGGUUUUAAUUCAUACUUGACCAAGCAGUUAGAAAAGGCUAAUUCUAGAUAUGCUGAUCAAACAAAUGAAUAGGCAUCUGUACACAAAUACACAUGCACACACACUCACACUUGACAUUUAAAGCCCCAGAAUUAAACAUUAAUUUAAUAAUACCUGAGGCUUUUGCAGGAAGUAUAAGGGUGGCUAUGUUUACUUGUAUUUCUGGAGCAGUAACUGCCUUUUAUAUUUUGGUUUGUUUUUAAUGUUGAUUACGAAACUCAAAAAUAAACAUUUAGGUAUAUUUAACAAGUGUAUAAACUGAAAUUAAAGCCUUUGAAUAAGACCUGUUAAUACAGAAGUAGACCACUCAGCAUUAGAGACAUUUGGAUAUUGAGAUCAAAAUGGGAAUGUGUUCUGUGGAUAAGAAAACACUAAUAAAUUUUUUUCAGUUUUAAAUAACAAUAACUUUCAGAAACAUAUCAAUUAAAAUUUGUUCUCCCUAUAUUUUAGCUCCAGAUUUGAUUUUAAUAUGCUAUCAUUGUUUUGAUCAUUGCCUAUGAUAGGGCAAGUUGUAUAGUUGGUACUCAGUAAAUACAUCACAGAGCAAAGUUACUUAAAGAAUCUUUCAAUUCAGAUUAUCCUAGUGCAUAGAAUGGUUCAAAGUUAAUUUGGAAUCCUGACAGCAUCUAUCAGUUUGAGUCUGUGGAACAGUACCAAUAUGAACAAGAAGUACCAUGUUCUUUUUAUAAAUGGAAAAAGUUUUAAAUAUGCAUUUCUUAUAAAUUACCAUAAUUAGUGGCAAUAACAGUAGUUUAGUUUGGAUAAUGAAUGACCUUCAAUGAAUUUACUCACUAAAAGAUACUGAGUAAUAUAUUUAAUAGUUCAUAUGACUACUGUAUAUAGCAGUCCAAAUAGGUGUUAAAGUGACAUCCAAUCUCUUAAGAUAUCUUAAAAUCUUUACCUGUUUACAAAUCUCUCAAAACCAAAUCAAGUUAAGCAGCUUUCAAAAGGCAAAAUUGUGCCUUCAUAAGGGGAAAGAAAUGGUUAAAAUUCUAUUAGUCACAGUCUCUUGUUUUCACUCUGUGAAUGCAGUAGUUUCUAAAAGCAAUGAAGAUUCCUCUGAAUAUCACUUUCAUGCCUCAAGGUAGUUCUUACUCCUCUAUCAGCGUCACUGGAUACUCACCCCUCCAAAGGUAUUGGGUUUUAUACGACACCAGGUAAGAUUUCAAGGAAAGCUUUUUUUUUUUCCCAAACCAAAUCUGGCUUUCUUUAAGUGAAGUGUCAUUUAUAUGAGAACAUGCGCAAAAUCUUCCAUCAUUCCUCUCUCAACCACCAAAAAAAAAUAAGUACUGAUUAUUCUUAGAAAAGAUUAUUUUUUUUAUUUAAUGCAGUGAAUACUCAAUAUUACCAUUGAACUAAACAUCUGAAAUUUGAUAGAAUGAAACAAAUAGAAAUUAGUCAUCUGUUAAUGGUUACCAUCCACUAGGUACAUAUCAGGCUUGUAGACAUUUGCAUAGACAAUGUCAGCACGGAACAUAAAUCUCACACAAAGUAUAAUCAAAAGUUUGAAACAAAUUAUCCCAUCAGUAAACUUUCUAUAGUAACAUCAACUUCAUGGAGUAUUAUGUCUUAGCAAAAAACAAUGAUGGUAUGCAGAUAUAAGCAUGUCAUUAUAAACAUGAUGUGCUAAAUAGAGCAUAUUGAGGUCAAAGCCUUUCUGUAGAAAGGGAAUUUAAUUGACAUUCUUUUAAGCAUAGUGUAUAAACAGAUCAAAAUAGUUCUAUCAUAAGAAAUAGUAUUUAACAACAUAGCUUUAAAACAAAAAUACUUUAAACAUCAGUUUUGAUGAGAUUAAAUGUAUUUUUAAAGAAUCUUCCUUUACAGUGAAAUAUAUAUUUCUUGCUUCUGGCUUUUCUACAUUUUUCCAACAUAACCCCCACCUUCCAUUGUUAAUAUCCCUAUCCCAGUCCAUUGUUAAUAAAGUAGUGCAAAACUGCAAUGAUUUCAAUCAAGCUUAAUCCCCUACCAAGUCAGGCAAGUAAGACAUUCUCACCAAAUUAUGUCUCUCUAGAGGUACACUCCCUUGAUAUACCAGGAAUCUAGGUACAAAAACUACAUGAGAGUCUUGGGAAUGCAAUUUUUAAGUACAGAUUCUAUGGUAAGUAGUGAAACAUUUUUAAAGGCAAACUCCCCCUCCCCAUAAGCAAUUUAUUUUACAAAAUAGGUUUUCAUGCAUUCAUAUUUUCAAGAAUGAUUUUUUCUAUAAAUGAAUGUAAUGAAACACUGGCAUAUCACUUAGCACACUGCAUUCUCCUCUACAUUAAAAUUCACACUAAUAACAAAAAUCAUAAUAGUCAUUAAAGCAUUUCAGUAACCUAAUGAGAAAGUAGAUACAUUUUUUCUUCUGUGAGAACACUUGAGUAGUAAAUAUUUUUAGAUGCACAGAGGCAUACAUAAUCUGACACCAAAAGCAAUGUGAUUUUAAUUUGCUAGAUUUUUGACAACUGAACUGGGUUGCUAAUUUGCUAAGUUGGUACAAAUUAACAGUGAUUGGUAUAAAAAUCCUUAUAGGCAAUCAUUUAUAAAUCUGGCAGUAUUUUUUGUAUAGUCUUGUAGAGAUUUUAAGGUUUUAGAUGGAAUGAUAGAAGAUUUGGAAAUUUUCUUUAUAGGAUUUCUGUGAGUGGUAGAUUCUCUUAAGGAGGUGACUAUACCUUCACUCAUUAGCUUAAAAUCAUCCUAGUCAUAUCUAAAUAAUUUGCACAGGAAUGAAUGUCAGGAUCUGAAUCUGUGUUAAGUUGAAAUGCAUCUGUUCCAUUUUUCAGGUUCUGAGAUUCCCCCUCCCUUUUGAAAUGUAUAAAACAUAGAAAACUAAUGGAUUAUUUUUCAGAUAAAAAAUAGUCACAUUAAAAAAAAAACUUUAAAAUCAAAUUGACAUUUACAUUUUAUGUAGAUUUAAUCAGAGCAUAGCUGAGCAUGUAAUCUAAUAUUCUGCUUCUUCCACUUGUAAUUAGAGAAGUGUGUAUCUCCCAAUGUUACCAUUCUUAUAUUUGUUAUUCCAGUGUUUUAUAUUAUUAUCCAUGGCUAACAAAGCUUUCACAGGGCAACAGCUAAACCUUUAUCAAAUUGAUUCUGUACAGUGGAAGUAUAUUUUCAAAGACAUAUGCCUUUGUACACUAUUUACAAAUUCUCUCAAUCAUGAUAAAAAUGCAAAAUAAAUAAAAAACAGAAAGAAAGGAAAUGCUGCUGAGGCUAAAGGCUUCUUCUUUUAUCUUUCCAAACAGAUGCUGGUCUCCUCAGUGCUGGGAGGUGGCUAGCCAAGAUUGUUUUUCUUCCUUUUACAUGGGCUAUGAGAAGGAUCUGGUUUCAGUUCUUGGUACUGCACCUGUUUAAACAGAGUUCAGAGAAAGGCUGGUCAGGUGGCCACUUUCUGGCAAAGGAAGGAAAAGCAAAGGAAUUGAGAGACUAUGCUUGGGGGAAAAGAAAGUGCUCGCUCUGGAAGCUGUAUGAAAUCUGCAGCUGGGAUGCAGAAAACAAUAGAAUGAUAGAGCAGGAGUCAAAGGAAAUCUUGCCAGAAACUACAUGAGAGCCCUGAUGUGAACUUUGGUAAUAGGCUGGGGUCUCUAUUGCCCAUACACACGUAACAUUAAAAGCAGAGCCAUCUCCAUUUUGAAGGGCUGAAUAAUUGUUCUUUGCAAUUUAUUGUGGGCUUGUUUAAUAUAGGCUUCAUCUCCAUCGAGCUGACUCUUAUGUCUGAUACCAAAUCAAAAACUCAGCUGAAACAAAGGAAAAAGGUAAUGGUGACUUUCCUUCACAGACUCCAGCUGAACCUUCCUUCGAGGAGGACUGUGCCCCUGACAAGCUGAUCUGCAGCUACAUAUGGAACAACUACCUCUGAGAAUAACCUAAAAACUGGCUGAGUGAUGUCUACACACUGGCAGAGAAGGCCCACAAUGAAGCAGAAGAGAAAACAUGCUCCUGGAAAAGUGACAGAGCUUGGAUUAGGACUACAACCAGCCAACUCCAGAGUCUAUUCUCUGCACAAUAUACCACGUGACCUUCCCGUCCCGUACCAUGUGAAAUCUUCCUGGGUAAGAAGAUUUCAGUUCCUAUCCAGGAUCCCCAUGAGAUAAACAAGAAGAAAAGACUUGCAAACAUUGAGAAACAUUAUUGUAAACACCAUGGUCAGCAAGAAAAUGAAAUCCAGAAACUUGAUUCAAAAAUGGGAAGUGGAAGAUGUGUUAGAAACCACCAGAUUUAAUGUUAAUAAUGCAGUAUGCAGAUAUUAAAUAUGGGACCUUCGUUAGUAAGAUGUAUCAUUUCAGGUAGCUACAAAGACUAUUUUUAGUAGAUUCUUUAAAUGCAAGCACUGAUGUUGAUUGUUGGCUAAAGAGUUUUUAAAAAUCUGCUCAGUUUGAAUUUUCUUUCUUUCUUCUGCACUCCCACCCCACCCCCAAGCCCCUCACCCCUCACCCCUGGCCACCAAAAUCCAAAAUAAAACAGUCUGGAGUGUUGGUAAAGUUUUGAAAAGCAAAUGCUUUGGGAUAAACUUUUUAUUUUAAAAUCUCUUUCAUCACAUUCUAUAUUCUUCCACUGUGGUCUCCAACCAAUGAAGUAAUUACUCUUUAUAUACAGUAUAUGACCCAAAACUGCAAUGGGUAAUGGAAUUGCUCUGCGUUGCAUUCCAAUAUUUCACACUUUUUUCUACUAAUGUUCAAUACUUUAU